rnacentral:rRNA from 1 species
UACGUAGGGGGCAAGCGUUGUCCGGAAUCAUUGGGCGUAAAGAGCGUGUAGGCGGUCCGGUAAGUCCGUUGUGAAAGUCGAGGGCUCAACCCUCGAAUGCCGGCGGAUACUGUCGGACUAGAGUCCGGAAGAGGAGAGUGGAAUUCCUGGUGUAGCGGUGAAAUGCGCAGAUAUCAGGAAGAACACCAAUGGCGAAGGCAGCUCUCUGGGACGGUACUGACGCUGAGACGCGAAAGCGUGGGGGGCGAACAGG